rnacentral:rRNA from 1 species
AACGCGAAGAACCUUACCUGGGUUUGACAUGCAGGGAAAUCUCACAGAGAUGUGAGGUCCGCAAGGGUCCUGCACAGGUGGUGCAUGGCUGUCGUCAGCUCGUGUCGUGAGAUGUUGGGUUAAGUCCCGCAACGAGCGCAACCCUCGUCCUAUGUUGCCAGCGGAUAAUGCCGGGGGACUCAUAGGAGACUGGCCGGGGUCAACUCGGAGGAAGGUGGGGACGACGUCAAGUCAUCAUGCCCCUUAUGUCCAGGGCUGCACACAUGCUACAAUGGCUGGUACAAAGGGCAGCUAAACCGCAAGGUGGAGCGAAUCCCAAAAAGCCAGUCUCAGUUCGGAUUGGGGUCUGCAACUCGACCCCAUGAAGUCGGAGUCGCUAGUAAUCGCAGAUCAGCAACGCUGCGGUGAAUACGUUCCCGGGCCUUGUACACACCGACAUA